CUGAAAACACUGGAUCGCAUUCGAUCACCGAAGUUAAGCAACGUCGAACCCGAUCAGUACUUAGAUGGGGGACAGCUUGGAAAUACCUUGU